GUAGAAUACGAGGAGGUGCAUGUAGAACAUGAGGAGGUGCAUGUAGAACAUGAGGAGGUGUAUGUAGAGGUGCAUGUAGAACAUGAGGAGGUGUAUGUAGAGGUGUAUGUAGAACAUGAGGAGGUGUAUGUAGAACAUGAGGAGGUGUAUGUAGAGGUGCAUGUAGAACAUGAGGUGUAUGUAGAACAUGAGGAGGUGCAUGUAGAACAUGAGGAGGUGUAUGUAGAACACGAGGAGGUGCAUGUAGAACACGAGGAGGUGCAUGUAGAACAUGAGGAGGUGCAUGUAGAGGUGCAUGUAGAACAUGAGGAGGUGAAUGUAGAGGUGUAUGUAGAACAUGAGGAGGUGCAUGUAGAACAUGAGGUGAAUGUAGAGGUGCAUGUAGAACACAAGGAGGUGCAUGUAGAACAUGAGGUGAAUGUAGAACACGAGGAGGUGCAUGUAGAACACGAGGAGGUGCAUGUAGAACACGAGGAGGUGCAUGUAGAACAUGAGGAGGUGUAUGUAGAACAUGAGGAGGUGCAUGUAGAGGUGCAUGUAGAACAUGAGGAGGUGAAUGUAGAGGUGCAUGUAGAACACGAGGAGGUGAAUGUAGAACACGAGGAGGUGCAUGUAGAACACGAGGAGGUGCAUGUAGAACACGAGGAGGUGCAUGUAGAACAUGAGGAGGUGCAUGUAGAGGUGCAUGUAGAACAUGAGGAGGUGAAUGUAGAGGUGCAUGUAGAACACGAGGAGGUGCAUGUAGAGGUGCAUGUAGAACACGAGGAGGUGCAUGUAGAACAUGAGGAGGUGCAUGUAGAACAUGAGGAGGUGUAUUAUAAAAUCCUGUUUCCUGUGUGUGUGUGUGUGUG